rnacentral:lncRNA from 1 species
GUUAUAGAAUGGGAAAGUCUUUGGGUUUGCCAAUGUUGGCUUCCCUCCCUCAUCCUUGGAGAUUUUAAGCUGUGUCAGUGCACUGGGCUUGAGAAAAAUGCCUUAAUCUCAACACCUGAAUUCUGAAUAGAUUAGCUGAAUUCCAAUCUCUAGGGACAAGUCCAUCCUUUAAAGUGCUUUUUUUUUCUUUCUAAUCCUGGGACUGAUUAACACUUGUGCCCUCAGGCAAAAGCGGCGAGCCAAAACACACCCAGCACACUUGUCUCUUUUAAAGCUGAAAAACUGAACCUAAUGAAACCUAGGACCCACCCAACCACCCCAACUUUUUCGGGGUCCAAAACUCAUGUUUCUUCCACUCUGCUGCUAAAAUCUGUUUGUUGGUUUCCCUUUACCUCCAACCUGAGACUCUCAGCUCUUUUCUUCUCAGGGUAACUUCUGCCUCAUCGGAGCAGAAGUGCCUUUUAAUACAAAUCUCUCCCAGACUUAGGCCUGUAGGUGUCCCGGAAACUGUCCUAGGAGACCCCAGUCUCUGUCCUGAGUUCGAGCAGGAGGAACACUGGAGAAACUGCGUCACACCACAGGGGCUGAAUUGGUCUCCGGCGUCCUGCUCCCCGGUAGGGAAUUGGGGUCUGGCCCUUUUAUCCCAGGACAAUCCCAACACCUCAGGGGCCGGUAAACUGGAUUGGCAGUGCUGGGAUACUUCUAACACUCCCUCUGACCCCUUCUACCCCUCCCCUAUAAGAGUGGGGAAAGUGGGGGGAAGGCUCUUUAAUACCAACCCCAGGAGAAAUUAGCUUUCCUGGAAAUUAAGAAUGAAAGGGCUAAACUCUAGGCUACUUAACACUUUUACUAUAGACAAAUAAUCUUUUGCUCCCAGCAUUUUCUCCUACUCUCCUUGUUAGAUGGGUUCUUACAGGCAGCCUGAUGCAUUUCCUGCUGCAUCUCCACCCUGGAUGGCACCCCGGUUUUAGCCAGCUCCCGAGAUCUGGGCUUCAAUCUUUGGACUCGCAACUGCCCUUCAGCCUGGAGAACAUGGGACAACUGACUGGGAACAACUGACCGGGACAAACACCCCUUAGAUGCCUUGCUGCCAUCCCCAAAUCCCACACCUCGCCUCACCUCCUGGCAUGAACCCCAAAUCUCUACGACCCUUGCCAGCUCGAAGCAGUUAAGAGGAGAUCAGCGCCCCUUUUCCCACAUGCCUUUAGAGGUGACUGCUUGGGGGGGGAUGAAGAGGGGACCCCUGAACUUGGAAAAUCCUGGAAGGAGAAAAUCUUCAAUUCUGUCUCAAUAACUGACUUUGCCCCAUGUCUUUUCCUUAAA